GGGACGGAUAGACGUAUCUGUGUUGUGUGCUGUCGUUCCUCCUUUUCUCGAUGGUUUUUGGAAUUCGACAUCAAUUGUUUUCACACAAUGGAACGAAUCGACUCACCCCAAUCUCCUCCACCACUUCUUUCCUGCUCCAGUGCUCCAUUUUGGAUAGCCAAUCCUCCUCUUUCAACGAGAUUCUUCUGUUAAAAAAAAAAUAAAAAACCACCGCCAACCCUAAACCAAUUCACCCAAAUCCGGCGACUAGAUCCACAGCACACGCGAGAACCGCGACGCACCACCGGUCAAUCCACGCAUUUUCCAUAACCCUAUUUACAGAAGAUUUUGAGGGUUUUGUAUCCAGGCUCAAACGUUGUUCGUCGUCUUUCAAAUCCCUCUAUGCUCAUGCUAUGCAGUGGAAUGGACGAGAAUGUUCUGGGUUCCAGUGCUGAACUCUUUUUUGCUCCAAUUGAUGUUUCUUUUGCUGAUGAUGCACCUCUUCUACCAUCUGGUUUUCGCAUCAUUCCUCUUGAUUAUGGGAAGGGUAUGUUCUGUUGGAUGCUCAGAGAGAUAGGAAACUGCAAUUUACUUUUGGAUAUGCUCUAUAACAAGCUGCCACUUACAUUUGGAUUUGAUUCUUCACUGAUGUGGAUGUUGUGAUGGGGUUUUGUAAUUUUCAAUAUUCUUCAAUUCUUUUUAGUCUGCAAAAAUCAAAUUGCCCAUGGAAUUAAAUUGAUAUUGCAUUAAUAUGUAUGCUAGAGGACUUUACAGUAUGCCAUCAAGUUUAGACUGACAACAAUGAAUGACCAACUUAGGAUUAAUGCCUCUAUUUGUUUAUUGAAAUUUGAUGCUCUCUCAUAUGGUCGAGAAAUAUAUAUAGUUGUCGUAUAUUUUAUAAGAGAAAUUAAGUACAUUGACAACAUCAUUCAUCCUCUAUGUUUAUUUUUAAUAAUCUGUUUUUCCCGUCAUUUUUUUUUCUGCUAUGUAAUGUCAUUUGGUUUUUUAUUUUCCUACAGGUUUUCAUUUUUAAUUGCUUUUCUUAAUCUAUUUUCCCCCUCAAUUUUUCUGCUAUGUAAUCUCAUUUGGUUUUCGAUUUUCCUACAGGUUUUCAUCUAAAAAGAAAAUACUUCGUCCGUAUACAUUCUACGUCGCUGCUCAGAAGAGCAAGUUGGUUCUGCUUCAAACUUGCAACGACAACAAGGAGAAAUGAGUCGGCGGGAGGACUCUGAAAGAUGAUUGUUGUUGCUGCUGCUAUAGAUAUGCCGGCGGAUCCUUCGGAGGGAGAGUUAAGCUUCGAUUGAGAAAUAAUCCUCUGCAAUGCUAUCAAUAAAGUUCAAAUUGGAGCUGUGCCCAAGGUGACCCUGAUCCUUUGAUCGUUUUCCAAAUUCUCACAUUUGUGGUUGUUAUUGAAUGGUAUGCAUAUGGAAGAAAUAUGGGAACCAUUGAAAUGUUGAAUACUUUGAUUUUAUGUAUUUUUUCAAGGAAUGGGAGAACCUUUGAAUAAGUAUGGUUCCUUAAUUGAAGCAAUUCAUGUUAUGACUGGAUCACUAUUUCACCUAUCGCCAAUGAAAAUUAUUGUCGACAGUAGGCAUUGAAAACUGCCAUUAUGUCUAAGAUGUUUUUAUCUGUAAAAACAUUCAGAUAUGGUGUAUCUUAAUAACUUUCUCAUGACCGCCAAAGAAAAUUACCGUAUCAACUAGGCAUUGAAAACUGCCAUUAUUUCUAAGAUGUUUUUAUCUGCAAAAACAUUCACAUAUGGUGUAUCUUAAUAACUUUCUCAUGCUAUUUUAUUUGAUUCUAUAAUCAAAAUUUUGUAGCUUUUAGAUUUUGUGGAUCUUAGUAAAUUAGGUAGUACAAAGUACUCUUUUGCUUAUUUCAUUGAAUGUGGGUGAAUCAUAGUUGCAUAAGUAAUGAUGUAGUUCGCAAUUGCUAAAAACAUUUGGCUUAUUACUCUGUCAGUUGUGCAUCUAAUCUUCUGUAGGUCGGCAUUAUUCAUGCUAUCAAAAAGCUCCAUAGUGAUCUUCUAGCUAUGUAUUAGCGGUUUCACUUAUGCAUCCGUCCAAGAAAUCUGUUGUCAGAUAAUGCCUGCAGCUCGGGCUUUUCCUUUAGUAAAGCUUAUGGAUGCAUUGCAAGACUACCAAGAGAGCACUCUACAAAAAAUCUUAAUUGAAUACAUAAUGUUUGAUGGAGUGACUGUGAAGAGCAACAUGCACACCUACUCGGGAAAAACUCGGGAAAUUGCUAGACAUUUCAAGUGGUGAGUUCUAAUCUUUAUGUACUUGCAGAAUAGGAGGAACUUCAAUCCCUUUUGUGUGUUUCGUAUAAUAUAUACACAACAUAACCUUUGCAUUUUUUGUCUCCUUUCCUACAAUUCAUGAAUUAAUACCUUUUCAUCAAAUUGGUAUUCUGAGUAAAUUCACAACCAGUAAUGAAAGCAAAGUAAUGAGCUUUUUUCUUUUCUUAACAAUUUUUUGUUUUUUUGAUCAUGGAAUGCUUUUCUCAUGCUAAGAUUGUAACCCAAUCAAUAAGCAAGUGAAACACAGAAGUUCUUCAUCGCAUGUUAGUUUUGAUCCAUUUCUAAUGAUCUCAUGCAUGGUACAAGAAAAACAUCUCUUUAGCAGCAAAAGAAGAAAGAAGAGUGAACUACUGAGCAACAAUGUGAAAAGUUGGGACAUAGAAAACAAGAUGUUUUUCAUGUAUUAUAACCGUAUGGAUGUAAAUAAGAUAAUUUUUAUGUAUGAUUUGUUCUUUAUAGAACAUAGGGAUGUAAAUAGAUUUUGAUAUGGAUGUAAAUCAAUUUCAAAAGUCCCACACAUUUAACAAAGUUUUAAAACCCGCAGCAUCACGCGAGUUCUUUUGCUCA